ACAAGUACAKUGGAUGGGAGGAAAUACAGGAGGGGAAUCCAGCACCAGAUAAACAUCUGAAUCUGAAGUGUCUGAAUCUGAACCGUGCACAAGAGCYAUUUUUCACGUGGAAGACGUCCCUU